ACGGAAGGCAGCAGUGGGGAAUAUUGGGCAAUGGGCGCAAGCCUGACCCAGCAACGCCGCGUGGAGAAAGAAGGCUUUCGGGUUGUAAACUUCUUUUACCAGGGACGAAGGACGUGACGGUACCUGGAGAAAAAGCCACGGCUAACUACGUGCCAGCAGCCGCGGUAAUACGUAGGUGGCAAGCGUUGUCCGGAUUUACUGGGUGUAGAGGGCGUGUAGGCGGAGCUGCAAGUCAGAUGUGAAAUCCCGGGGCUCAACCCCGGAACUGCAUUUGAAACUGUAGCCCUUGAGUAUCGGAGAGGCAAGCGGAAUUCCUAGUGUAGCGGUGAAAUGCGUAGAUAUUAGGAGGAACACCAGUGGCGAAGGCGGCUUGCUGGACGACAACUGACGCUGAGGCGCGAAAGCGUGGGGAGCAAACAGGAUUAGAUACCCUGGUA
rnacentral:rRNA from 1 species